rnacentral:rRNA from 1 species
UACGUAGGGUGCGAGCGUUGUCCGGAAUUAUUGGGCGUAAAGGGCGCGUAGGCGGUUUGACAAGUCUGAUGUGAAAUCUAUGGGCUCAACCCAUAGCCUGCAUUAGAAACUGUCGGGCUUGAGUAUGGGAGAGGUGAGUGGAAUUUCCGGUGUAGCGGUGAAAUGCGUAGAUAUCGGAAGGAACACCUGUGGCGAAAGCGGCUCACUGGACCAUAACUGACGCUGAGGCGCGAAAGCUAGGGGAGCAAACAGGG